rnacentral:rRNA from 1 species
CCUACGGGAGGCAGCAGUGGGGAAUAUUGCACAAUGGGGGAAACCCUGAUGCAGCGACGCCGCGUGAGCGAUGAAGGAUCUCGGUAUGGAAAGCUCUAUCAGCAGGGAAGAAAAUGACGGUACGUGACUAAGAAGCCACGGCUAACUCCGUGCCAGCAGCCGCGGUAAUACGGAGGGGGCAAGCGUUAUCCGGAUUUACUGGGUGUAAAGGGAGCGUAGAGGGCUGUGCAAGCCAGUUGUGAAAGUCCGCGGCUCAACCGCAGGACUGCAUUUGGAACUGUGUGGCUGGAGUGCCGUAGAGGCAGGCGGAAUUCGUAGUGUAGCGGUGAAAUGCUUAGAUAUUAGGAAGAACACCAGUGGCGAAGGCAGCCUGCUGAAC